GUUCCAUGUGCAGCAAUGGGCACUAGUUCAACCACAAGAGAAAUGUGUGAAAAUAAUCCCACAUCAGAUAAUGCAGGCAGUUUUGCUAUUAAUGAGUCUGAAGCUAUGGGCUAUGCUAUUGAAAUGUCUGUUGCUCCAUCAGUGGGAUCUGACACCAUGCUAGAAAAUGUCGGGAGCACAGAGGAAGUCCAAGAUGCCUUAGAAGGCUCGCCUGAACUUAAUGAGCCAACAAAGUUGAGUGUACCUUAUGCAACUGGAGUUCUACAGUUGUGGAAACAAGCUGUUGAGAGUGGGAGUGCAGUUGUUUUGGUUGAUUCAAAUUUGGAUGCUGAUACUGUUUAUCAAACAGCGGUUGACUUUGCCAGGUCUGCUCCACCUAGUCCAGAUUUUAGACAUCGGCCACGGAAGGUAUCAAUUCAACAGUGCGAGAAGCAAGAAAUUGGGGAUUUGCAAGUUAAAGAAGUUACAACUGUUGCUCAGACAGAAGUAAGGGAGAAAAGAAGUUUUAAACUCAAAAGGAGGAAAGAUUCUAGUGAACAAUAUCUGGAUUCUGCACCGCAGGGAAGCCUAGGAGUAGAUGAACUUGCUAAACUACUAGCAUAAUACUUAAUGUUUUCUUCCAUAUUUUACUUGCCAUUGUCUUUGA
rnacentral:misc_RNA from 1 species